rnacentral:sRNA from 1 species
ACCGCGGUGGUCGUCGGGGGAAUGGUCCUCGACGUGACGGCCUCCCCGGCCCCGGGCGCGU